rnacentral:misc_RNA from 1 species
AAAAGAUGAAAACAUGGGACUCGUAAAAGCCAUAUGAUAUUCCUGUGUAUUAGUCUCUCGCACAAAAAAGAAAUAAACUAGAGACCCACAAACAGCCAUUGUUUUACUCCCACCUUUGAGGAGGAGACAGCGACAGCCACCCAAUAAAUUAAACGCGAACAGAAACAGUACCUUUUUCCUUGCAGCUACGAGACAUGAAGAAACCUCGAAGUGGCUCCUUAAUAAUAAACGCUAUUGGAUGCCAAAACAUCAAAAACAGAAACAACGGUAAUAGCAGCAAGAACAGCAGCAGCAGCAGCAGCAACAGUCACAAUAAAAAGAAUAACAGAAGAAGCUUCUAUGAGCUCUCUUUGUCCUUGAUUCUCUUGCUUUGGUGCCUUGUCUUGUUGUUCUACACUAGACUUGGCCUUAGCCACGAGAAUGAAGGGAAUUUGAAUCCUGAUAACAGAAGCAUACCUUGUCCUGGUGUUUUUAAACAUAAGCUUUGCAAUGAUACACAUUCACACGUUACAAAGAGAAGCUAUAACAAUACAAAUGGAGUGCUGCUAGAGCUUAAUCUGUCUUCCAGCUGUAACAAUUCCACAGUUCAUAUUAACAUUGCGAAUCAGAGGUACUCAAUUUCGGAGACUAAUAGUAUAGAAGAUAUUAUUUGGAGUUUUUUAGGUUACAGAUCUUUAGUUUGUAAAGUGCAAGAAGUGGAAGGAUGGGAGACAGGUAAACCCAAGGAGCUACCUGGUGGGAAAACUCAUCAUUCCACUUAUCUCAAUUUGGAUGAAUUUCGCAACAUAACAAGGCAAGAGAAAGGGCAACAAAUGCCCAAUCAGCUCGUCAACAUCACCCAUCGGCUUGAACCUGAUGGAAAAGAGUACAACUUUGCCUUUGCUAUGAAGGGUGCAAAGGUUGUGGCACAUAAUAAGGAAGCAAAAGGGGCAGAUAAUAUACUGGGGAAGGAUCAAGAUAAGUACCUAAGAAACCCUUGUUCUGUGGGAGCAAAGUUUGUUGUGAUUGAGCUUUCGGAGGAGACAUUAGUUGAUGUUGUCAAAAUUGCCAACUUUGAGCAUUAUUCUUCUAAUUUCAAGGAUUUUAACUUGUCUGGAAGUUUAAAUUAUCCAACUGAAGCUUGGACUGAGUUGGGAAACUUUGUUGCUGCUAAUGUCAAGCAAAGUCAAAGCUUCAAGCUGCCUGAACCCAAAUGGGUGAGGUACUUAAAGUUGGAGCUACUUAGUCAUUAUGGGUCCGAAUUUUACUGCACAUUGAGUGUUGUUGAGGUGUAUGGAGUAGACGCUAUUAAGCGUAUGCUUGAAGAUCUCUUUGUAGACCCUGGAGAAACUAGUCCCAGCAAAUUGCCAAAGCCUGAUGCAACUGCAAUACCACCUUUGAAGUCAGAAUUGGAUCUCAUUGAUGAGAAAAGAAAUGGCAAAGUUCAAAAUGGGGCUGAUAGUGCCACUAUGGGAACAGAAAAAACUGAUGAUUCUCAACAGCUCCAUGCAACUACAACAAAGGAGACUGUGACUAUAAGCAAGAUUCCUAAUCCUGCUACUGAAGUUAAACAGCAGCCAAUUAGCAGAAUGCCUGGUGAUGCUGUUCUAAAGAUCUUGCUGCAGAAGGUGAGGUCACUUGAGUUGAACUUAUCUGUGUUGGAGGAGUUUAUUAAAGAAAUGAAUAGGAGACAAGGAGAUAUCUUGCCUGACCUUGAGAAAGAGCUAAUCAGAGUUUCAUUUCUUUUGGAGAAGAGCAAAGCGGAAAUUAAUGAUCUUGUGGAAUGGAAGGAAAAUAUGGAUAAAGGACUUUCAGACCUUGAGUCAUGGAAAGCUACUGUCUCAUCUCGUAUGGAUGCAUUGGUCAGAGAAAAUAUCAUGUUGAGGUUUGCAAUUGUCUCACUUGUGACCAAAGUUUACUAACAAAUUUUUAAUAUACUUCCAGUUAUUUUCAUUUAUGAAUUGGUUUUCCAAUUGAUGUUCUAGUAACCUGAAUGUUUGAAAUUGUUCUCUCAUUUGUCAUUAAUCUGGAUCCUAAAAAUGAUUUCAUAGUAUCAUCAUAGGUCACAUGUUUACAACUUAGUUAAAGUGGAUUUUAUUAUUCAAUCCCUCUGUCUAUUAUUUAUAGCAAUACAUUUAUUUAAGCAGAUCAUUAACUCAAUUUUAACCCGAAGAUUUCAUAUGUUGGAGGAUUGUUCAUAGAUAUGAUUUUGUAUACUCUUUAAAAGCAACAUAGCUCUGGCUGGGAUCAAUUCCUGUCUGAAUAAAAGGGGGCCUAUUAGAUCUUGAAAUUUUAUGUCUUCUGUUCAAUUCUGAGACUUAUAGCUUAUGACAGAUUUAGAAUAAUGCAAGGAAAUAUGAAUAUUUACAAAUGAGUAGUGAAUUUUAAAAGAAAAACUGCUCCAUCAAGCCUUUUUGCAAUAACUUGACUGCUUUUGCUUGUAGCUGAUCCAUGCUUAAUGGCAAUGCUUGAUAUACUUGUAAACCAGAAUUUAUGCAGGGUGCAUGAUACUUGUGUUUUGUGAAAUUAUCCUCCCAUCUGACUAGCUUCCCAUUUUCCUACGCCUCUUUUCCUUUCUUACUGCAGAUUAGAUGUUGAAAAGGUUGUAAAUGAUCAAGCAAAUCUGGAGAGCAAGGAGCUUGCUGUAUUAGCAAUGAGUCUUUUCUUCAUGUGCUUUGCAACUAUCAAGCUAGUUUCAGCAAGAGUUACGAAAAUUUUGGGAGCUUCUCAGUCAGAUAAGGUAUGCCGGACAAGUAGAGGUUGGGUUAUGAUACUUGUUAGCAGCACAAUGACACUAUUCAUCACCCUCCUCUCUUAGCUAGUCCCUUCUCUGUGUAACUUGAGUA